rnacentral:piRNA from 1 species
CACGUAAGAUGCAGUCAGUGA